GCGGUGAGAGAAGAGAGAGAGAGGUGGAGCGGUGAGAGCAGAGAGAGAGAGAGGUGGAGCGGUGAGAGAAGAGAGAGAGAGGUGGAGCGGUGAGAGCAGAGAGAGAGAGAGAGGAGCGGUGAGAGAAGAGAGAGAGAGGUGGAGCGGUGAGAGCAGAGAGAGAGAGAGUUGGAGCGGUGAGAGCAGAGAGAGAGAGGUGGAGCGGUGAGAGCAGAGAGAGAGAGAGAGGAGGUGGAGCGGUGAGAGCAGAGAGAGAGAGAGAGUUGGAGCGGUGAGAGCAGAGAGAGAGAGUUGGAGCGGUGAGAGCAGAGAGAGAGAGAGUGGAGCGGUGAGAGCAGAGAGAGAGAGGAGGAGCGGUGAGAGCAGAGAGAGAGAGAGGUGGAGCGGUGAGAGCAGAGAGAGAGACACUGGACACUGAAUCAGCUCACAUUAAGGCACUGCAGGAAAAAAAUAAAUGGGGUGUUAUUCAGUUUCACAGUGAACAGAGGAGCCGGCAGAAAAAAAGAAAACGCUUCCCCGAUGAGACUGAAGAUGACAUAGCAAACGAACAGAAGUCAGACACUGGAUUUUGCUAAACACAGUGUUUUAUGUGGCUCUGGAUAGUAUAAUCAGUCAUUUGCACAUGCGGUUCCAC
ensembl:lncRNA